rnacentral:misc_RNA from 1 species
GAUGAAGAACGCAGCGAAAUGCGAUAAGUAAUGUGAAUUGCAGAAUUCAGUGUAUCAUCGAAUCUUUGAACGCACCUUGCGCUCUUUGGUAUUCCGAAGAGCAUGCCUGUUUGAGUGUCAUGAAAAUAUCAACCUUGACUUGGGUUUUGUGCUCUAGUCUCGGCUUGGAAUUGGGUGCUUGCCGCUUUUACGAGCGGCUCACCUUAAAUGUAUUAGCUGGAUCUGUCUUUGAGACUUGGUUUGACUUGGCGUAAUAAGUAUUUCGCUAAGGACAUUCUUCGGAGUGGCCUCGUUUCUAGGACGCUUGUCCGCUUUCCAAUACAAGUUCCACCUCGUGGACAUGACUUUUUAUUAUCUGGCCUCAAAUCAGGUAGGACUACCCGCUGAACUUAAGCAUAUCAAUAAGCGGAGGA